rnacentral:rRNA from 1 species
CAAUAGCGUAUAUUAAAGUUGUUGCAGUUAAAAAGCUCGUAGUUGAAUUUUUGCUUGCCGCCGAUGUCGGAACUUCCGUACGUUCGGCGGCGUGCAUCCUUGGGUGGAACCUGUGUGGCAUUAGGUUGUCGUGCAGGGGAUGCUCAUCGUUUACUGUGAAAAAAUUAGAGUGUUCAAAGCAGGCUUACGCCGUUGAAUAUAUUAGCAUGGAAUAAUAAGAUAGGACCUUGGUACUAUUUUGUUGGUUUGCGCUCCGAGGUAAUGAUUAACAGGGACAGUUGGGGGUAUUCGUAUUCCAUUGUCAGAGGUGAAAUUCUUGGAUUUCUGGAAGACGAACUACUGCGAAAGCAUUUACCAAGGAUGUUUUCAUUAA